AAUGAACGUUGGCGGCGUGGAUUAGGCAUGCAAGUCGUGCGCGAAAUGUAGCAAUACAUGGAGAGCGGCGAAAGGGAGAGUAAUACAUAGGUACCCACCCCCGGGCCUGGGAUAGCGGCGGGAAACUGCCGGUAAUACCAGAUAACGUCUCCGGACCAAAGGUGUGAUUCCACCUGGGGAAGGGCCUGUGGCCUAUCAGCCAGUUGGUGGGGUGAUGGCCCACCAAGGCAAAGACGGGUAUGGGGCGUGAGAGCACGACCUGCGUCAUUGGGACUGAGACACUGCCCAGACACCUACGGGUGGCUGCAGUCGAGAAUUUUUGGCAAUGGGGGAAACCCUGACCAAGCGAUGCCGCGUGCGGGAUGAAGGCCUUCGGGUUGUAAACCGCUGUCAGUGAGGAGGAAGGGUGGUGUGUUAAUAGCACAUCAUUUUGACGUUACUCGCAGAAGAAGCACCGGCUAACUCUGUGCCAGCCGCCGCAGUAA
rnacentral:rRNA from 1 species